GACCCCGUGAACCUUUACUAUAGCUUGACACUGAACAUUGAGCCUUGAUGUGUAGGAUAGGUGGGAGGCUUUGAAGCGUGGACGCCAGUCUGCGUGGAGCCGACCUUGAAAUACCACCCUUUAAUGUUUGAUGUUCUAACGUGGACCCGUGAUCCGGGUUGCGGACAGUGUCUGGUGGGUAGUUUGACUGGGGCGGUCUCCUCCUAAAGAGUAACGGAGGAGCACGAAGGUUGGCUAAUCCUGGUCGGACAUCAGGAGGUUAGUGCAAUGGCAUAAGCCAGCUUGACUGCGAGCGUGACGGCGCGAGCAGGUGCGAAAGCAGGUCAUAGUGAUCCGGUGGUUCUGAAUGGAAGGGCCAUCGCUCAACGGAUAAAAGGUACUCCGGGGAUAACAGGCUGAUACCGCCCAAGAGUUCAUAUCGACGGCGGUGUUUGGCACCUCGAUGUCGGCUCAUCACAUCCUGGGGCUGAAGUAGGUCCCAAGGGUAUGGCUGUUCGCCAUUUAAAGUGGUACGCGAGCUGGGUUUAGAACGUCGUGAGACAGUUCGGUCCCUAUCUGCCGUGGGCGCUGGAGAACUGAGGGGGGCUGCUCCUAGUACGAGAGGACCGGAGUGGACGCAUCACUGGUGUUCGGGUUGUCAUGCC
rnacentral:rRNA from 1 species